ACCUGUAGGCUGGAAGAUUUAUGGCUUAAUGACAACCAGAUAGAAAUACUUGAAGCUAUCACAUAAGCUGUUGAAGGCUCUAAAGCUAACAACUUUCCCGGAUUCUCCAUAAAAUGGAUGCUAAUGUAACUGCAAACUGUGUUCAUCCUGGAAUCGUGAGAACGCGUCUCACAAGAGACCGAGACGGCCUCAUCACUGAUUUUGUCUUUUUCUUGACCUCUAAGCUUUUGAAGUCCGUUCCUCAGGCAGCAGCAACGACAUGCUGCCUAGCAACGAGUCCGAGAUUGAGGAACGUGUGCGGCAAAUACUUUUCAGACUGUAAUGAAGCUCGGACUUCUAAUCCGGAUCGUGCAAUCUUAAAGCUCAGAGACUAUGGACUGCUUCUGAGUUGUUGGUCACUCCAGCUUCCACUCCCGAUGUUUAUCAAACCUUUAACUACUUUUUAACCAACGAUGCUAUGUAUGUGUAAAGCCUUUCCAAGCUUCUUGGUUGUGAAAUGUUUUAGAUCAUUUGGAGGAGUAAUAAAGUUUAUAUGUUAUCACUAAUCACAUAUAUAGAUUGAAGAAAGGCAACACAGGCAGAUAUAAACAUUGGCACGCCAAUGUAUAUAUGUACCACAAAGACAACUAUUAAGUUAUCAUCAUAUUAAAAUCUAGGGGGCAUUAAGCACACGCCUAACAAAAAAAUAUUUAAAACACACUGUGUUAGUGUUAUCGGCUAAACAAGAGUUU